rnacentral:rRNA from 1 species
GGUUAAGCGACUAAGCGUACACGGUGGAUGCCCUGGCAGUCAGAGGCGAUGAAGGACGUGCUAAUCUGCGAUAAGCGUCGGUGAGGUGAUAUGAACCGUUAUAACCGGCGAUUUCCGAAUGGGGAAACCCAGUGUGUUUCGACACACUAUCAUUAACUGAAUCCAUAGGUUAAUGAGGCGAACCGGGGGAACUGAAACAUCUAAGUACCCCGAGGAAAAGAAAUCAACCGAGAUUCCCCCAGUAGCGGCGAGCGAACGGGGAGGAGCCCAGAGCCUGAAUCAGUGUGUGUGUUAGUGGAAGCGUCUGGAAAGGCGCGCGAUACAGGGUGACAGCCCCGUACACAAAAAUGCACAUGCUGUGAGCUCGAUGAGUAGGGCGGGACACGUGGUAUCCUGUCUGAAUAUGGGGGGACCAUCCUCCAAGGCUAAAUACUCCUGACUGACCGAUAGUGAACCAGUACCGUGAGGGAAAGGCGAAAAGAACCCCGGCGAGGGGAGUGAAAAAGAACCUGAAACCGUGUACGUACAAGCAGUGGGAGCCUCUUAAUGGGGUGACUGCGUACCUUUUGUAUAAUGGGUCAGCGACUUAUAUUCUGUAGCAAGGUUAACCGAAUAGGGGAGCCGAAGGGAAACCGAGUCUUAACUGGGCGUUAAGUUGCAGGGUAUAGACCCGGAAACCCGGUGAUCUAGCCAUGGGCAGGUUGAAGGUUGGGUAACACUAACUGGAGGACCGAACCGACUAAUGUUGAAAAAUUAGCGGAUGACUUGUGGCUGGGGGUGAAAGGCCAAUCAAACCGGGAGAUAGCUGGUUCUCCCCGAAAGCUAUUUAGGUAGCGCCUCGUGAAUUCAUCUCCGGGGGUAGAGCACUGUUUCGGCAAGGGGGUCAUCCCGACUUACCAACCCGAUGCAAACUGCGAAUACCGGAGAAUGUUAUCACGGGAGACACACGGCGGGUGCUAACGUCCGUCGUGAAGAGGGAAACAACCCAGACCGCCAGCUAAGGUCCCAAAGUCAUGGUUAAGUGGGAAACGAUGUGGGAAGGCCCAGACAGCCAGGAUGUUGGCUUAGAAGCAGCCAUCAUUUAAAGAAAGCGUAAUAGCUCACUGGUCGAGUCGGCCUGCGCGGAAGAUGUAACGGGGCUAAACCAUGCACCGAAGCUGCGGCAGCGACACUAUGUGUUGUUGGGUAGGGGAGCGUUCUGUAAGCCUGUGAAGGUGGCCUGUGAGGGUUGCUGGAGGUAUCAGAAGUGCGAAUGCUGACAUAAGUAACGAUAAAGCGGGUGAAAAGCCCGCUCGCCGGAAGACCAAGGGUUCCUGUCCAACGUUAAUCGGGGCAGGGUGAGUCGACCCCUAAGGCGAGGCCGAAAGGCGUAGUCGAUGGGAAACAGGUUAAUAUUCCUGUACUUGGUGUUACUGCGAAGGGGGGACGGAGAAGGCUAUGUUGGCCGGGCGACGGUUGUCCCGGUUUAAGCGUGUAGGCUGGUUUUCCAGGCAAAUCCGGAAAACCAAGGCUGAGGCGUGAUGACGAGGCACUACGGUGCUGAAGCGACAAAUGCCCUGCUUCCAGGAAAAGCCUCUAAGCAUCAGGUAACAUCAAAUCGUACCCCAAACCGACACAGGUGGUCAGGUAGAGAAUACCAAGGCGCUUGAGAGAACUCGGGUGAAGGAACUAGGCAAAAUGGUGCCGUAACUUCGGGAGAAGGCACGCUGAUAUGUAGGUGAAGCGACUUGCUCGUGGAGCUGAAAUCAGUCGAAGAUACCAGCUGGCUGCAACUGUUUAUUAAAAACACAGCACUGUGCAAACACGAAAGUGGACGUAUACGGUGUGACGCCUGCCCGGUGCCGGAAGGUUAAUUGAUGGGGUUAGCGGCAACGCGAAGCUCUUGAUCGAAGCCCCGGUAAACGGCGGCCGUAACUAUAACGGUCCUAAGGUAGCGAAAUUCCUUGUCGGGUAAGUUCCGACCUGCACGAAUGGCGUAAUGAUGGCCAGGCUGUCUCCACCCGAGACUCAGUGAAAUUGAACUCGCUGUGAAGAUGCAGUGUACCCGCGGCAAGACGGAAAGACCCCGUGAACCUUUACUAUAGCUUGACACUGAACAUUGAGCCUUGAUGUGUAGGAUAGGUGGGAGGCUUUGAAGUGUGGACGCCAGUCUGCAUGGAGCCGACCUUGAAAUACCACCCUUUAAUGUUUGAUGUUCUAACGUGGGCCCCUAAUCGGGGUUGCGGACAGUGUCUGGUGGGUAGUUUGACUGGGGCGGUCUCCUCCUAAAGAGUAACGGAGGAGCACGAAGGUUGGCUAAUCCUGGUCGGACAUCAGGAGGUUAGUGCAAUGGCAUAAGCCAGCUUGACUGCGAGCGUGACGGCGCGAGCAGGUGCGAAAGCAGGUCAUAGUGAUCCGGUGGUUCUGAAUGGAAGGGCCAUCGCUCAACGGAUAAAAGGUACUCCGGGGAUAACAGGCUGAUACCGCCCAAGAGUUCAUAUCGACGGCGGUGUUUGGCACCUCGAUGUCGGCUCAUCACAUCCUGGGGCUGAAGUAGGUCCCAAGGGUAUGGCUGUUCGCCAUUUAAAGUGGUACGCGAGCUGGGUUUAGAACGUCGUGAGACAGUUCGGUCCCUAUCUGCCGUGGGCGCUGGAGAACUGAGGGGGGCUGCUCCUAGUACGAGAGGACCGGAGUGGACGCAUCACUGGUGUUCGGGUUGUCAUGCCAAUGGCACUGCCCGGUAGCUAAAUGCGGAAGAGAUAAGUGCUGAAAGCAUCUAAGCACGAAACUUGCCCCGAGAUGAGUUCUCCCUGAGACUUAGAGUCUCCUGAAGGAACGUUGAAGACGACGACGUUGAUAGGCCGGGUGUGUAAGCGCAGCGAUGCGUUGAGCUAACCGGUACUAAUGAACCGUGAGGCUUAACCUUAC